GAUGUUUUAACGUUUUAGUGGCCAAGUACGGGCAAAAGUUGAGUGUCUCAACAGGACAAGGAUAUACGCUGCUGUACGUGAAAGUGGCUACUUUCAAGUAUAUUUGAAGGUAUACUGCCAAGUAUAGCCCACAGAUUUGCAAGUCUAUUUCGGUGACGUGUCCCAUCAAAAGUUUCGUGCCCCAUGCUGAUAACAAAUCCCGAAGAUGAGCACGAAAUAUCGGGACCUGCUCUAUUUCGAUUUUUACUCAACGAAGAAACUCUAGAAGAAUUCAAAGUAGCUGAAACCACUCAAAAUGCCGGGCGUUUUAAAAACCAUCAACAAAGAAUCGAAAAUCAUUGAAUUCGAAACUUCACCAAAAGAGCACGAGCUCAGUGGAUACAGGAGCAUUUCACGUUUUCACGCCGUGGAUAACUUGUACGGGCUACCAAGCAACGGUUCAAAUCCGUUUUGGAAAAAAAAGGCAUAAAACCUGCGAGUGCCGAAACGAGGCAACAGGCGAUACUUCGACAUCUUAUUGGAUUAAUUUGAUAAAAUUUGAUGGCAUUCGAAAACAACGGAAACAAACAACUUGUAGGAAGUUGGUGAGGUCCUGAAAGAAGAUAAAUUCGAAACCAACAACCACGAAGGAAAAGGGAUGUGGAUGUCAACCGCUAGAUUUCAAAAGUACAACAUGUACAGUAUCCUGCACGGAAACUGUACAGGCGCAGUGAAAAACAAACAAGUCAAAAAACGAACUUUUUAAAAAUAGCAUUCAUAUCAGAUUCGGACGUAGGAAAGGCUCCUGAUAGGAAACAGGAGCCUUUCCUACGACCGAUAUUAGCACUGCGACAUGGGGAGAAGGAUUGAUGGAAUGCACUUGUCAAAUGUGUAGAAAUGCUGAUGACAAAUGUCGCCAAAUUUUUUUACACAUAUUGAAAAUGAAGUAUACUUCAUUCAUUGGUUCCGUCAAAUCAGAUAUUAUUCGCUGGAAUUUUGCCAGGCAUCGCUGGAUCAAAAAAAUUUGGGGGUGAGACGAAGCCGGGGAAACACUGUGGACCCAUCCCCCGGGAAAAAAAAGUUUGCCUCCAUAUGGCCAAGGGACUGGCACACAUUCAUGAAAUGCAACUAAUCCAUCGACGAAAAUGUUCUCAUCUGGUUAGAUUCAACUGGGAAAAAAAAUCUUAAUAAAAUGGACCAAUUUGGGACUUGGUAAACAAGUAAAAAAAUUAGGAGAAGACCAUUCAAUCAGUGGAGUGAAAGGGAUAACUGUUACUCUCCUGAAAUAUUGAAGAUAAUGGGGUAAUGGGGAAGGGAAAUUAUUCUAAUCUUUCAAGACGAACCGCCAAGAGCGACGUUUUUUACCGCGGGACUAGUUUUGCUUGUUUUUGUCAAUUAUUUAUACUAGGCGGUGAUCAUCCUUUUAGUUCACAUAUAAAUGUUCUACAAAACAUUCUCAAAAAUGAGCCAGUCAAUCUGCCAAGAAUUAGAGAACAAUGCAGGCAGAAGACAAUCUCAACGAGAGGAUUUCAUCGGCCGAUGUUGUUUCAAAAAUAAACAACUUUAACCUUUGUGACAAGAAAAAGCCUUACGCUGCGUUCCUGAUUAACCAACCCAUAAAUAAUAAACCCCAGCCUGGGAGAGAUAACUUGAAAGUCGCCUUGAUGAACAGAAUAGGCUCGGCAUUUCUAAUUGAUUGCAGUGGCGAAUACGAAGACUGCGACAACGAAGAGAAGAAAAAAUUUCAAGAGGCAAAAUUGCUUGACAAGAAGCUGUUAAAGAUUUUUAAAAAAAUUCAGAACAACUAAGUGAAGAAGAACUGAAGAAGAAAAAAUGCCAGCCAUUACGGGAAGCAAAAGUUGUUAUCAAAAUAAAAAUUCGGAUUUUUUGAACACCCAUCAAUUGAUCAUUGAAGAGAAUUGAUUAAAAAAAAUUAAAAGGUUAAAAAAAAAGUGUGAUCUUUGAACUCAGUUGGGAUAAACGAAGUCCUCUACCAAGUGUCCAUACAGAAGACUAAAAUGUUCAACAAGUAAAAAUGAAUUAUUAUGGAAGAUCGCUUCCUUGAUGUACGCAACAGCCUACUUCAUCUCCAUAAAAAAAACGAUCAUACAAUGGAAACACGAAGGAAUAACAAAGACAAUAAGGCGUUAAGGUUUCCUACCUUGACGUGAGGCGGAUCACCAGGAAGUUGCGAUCAAGACGUGGAGAUAAUGAUUGGCUCCAUCUCACCAUGUCAUCACCUAAAAAGAAGUUUUAUAGUUAAAAAUAAGCAACUGCAAAAUUUUUUAACUCAUUUGUCAAUGUCUAAAAUCUAUAUUAUUUGUGAUCCAUGCACAGUUAUUAUAAUAUCGUAAGCAUAAAAAUGAACAAAAAAUAUUAACUUUGAAAAUUAACAAGGGAAUACUACAUUAUUAGAAAUAAUUAUAAAUCAUUGGUCAAAUCAUUAGAAUUAUAAGAGUUACAGUUAUAAUUAUAUAAUUAUAAAUCUGU